rnacentral:rRNA from 1 species
GACGAAGGGGGCUAGCGUUGUUCGGAAUUACUGGGCGUAAAGCGAGUGUAGGUGGUUGUCCAAGUUGGAUGUGAAAGCCUUGAGCUCAACUCAAGAAAUGCAUUCAGGACUGGAUGGCUAGAGGACCGGAGAGGAUAGUGGAAUUCCCAGUGUAGUGGUGAAAUACGUAGAGAUUGGGAAGAACACCAGUGGCGAAGGCGGCUAUCUGGACGGUUUCUGACACUAAGACUCGAAAGCGUGGGGAGCAAACAGGAUUAGAUACCCGUUGAG